rnacentral:sRNA from 1 species
GCAUAUCAAUAAGCGGAGGAAAAGAAACCAACAGGGAUUGCCCUAGUAACGGCGAGUGAAGCGGCAACAGCUCAAAUUUGAAAUCUGGCUUCGGCCCGAGUUGUAAUUUGUAGAGGAAGCUUUAGGCGCGGCACCUUCUGAGUCCCCUGGAACGGGGCGCCAUAGAGGGUGAGAGCCCCGUAUAGUUGGAUGCCUAGCCUGUGUAAAGCUCCUUCGACGAGUCGAGUAGUUUGGGAAUGCUGCUCAAAAUGGGAGGUAAAUUUCUUCUAAAGCUAAAUACCGGCCAGAGACCGAUAGCGCACAAGUAGAGUGAUCGAAAGAUGAAAAGCACUUUGAAAAGAGGGUUAAAUAGCACGUGAAAUUGUUGAAAGGGAAGCGCUUGUGACCAGACUUGCGCCGGGCUGAUCAUCCGGUGUUCUCACCGGUGCACUCUGCCCGGCUCAGGCCAGCAUCGGUUCUCGCGGGGGGAUAAAGGCCCAGGGAAUGUAGCUCCUCCGGGAGUGUUAUAGCCCGGGGCGCAAUGCCCUCGCGGGGACCGAGGUUCGCGCUCUGCAAGGAUGCUGGCGUAAUGGUCAUCAGCGACCCGUCUUGAAACACGGACC